UACGUAGGGUGCAAGCGUUGUCCGGAAUCAUUGGGCGUAAAGCGCGCGUAGGUGGCUUUGUAAGUCCGUUGUGAAAGUCAAAGGCUCAACCUUUGAAUGCCGAUGGAUACUGCGGAGCUAGAGUACGGAAGAGGCGAGUGGAAUUCCUGGUGUAGCGGUGGAAUGCGCAGAUAUCAGGAGGAACACCAAUAGCGAAGGCAGCUCGCUGGGACGUUACUGACACUAAGGCGCGAAAGCGUGGGGACGAAACAGG
rnacentral:rRNA from 1 species